rnacentral:rRNA from 1 species
AUUGAACGCUGGCGGCAUGCCUUACACAUGCAAGUCGAACGGCAGCACGGGAGCAAUCCUGGUGGCGAGUGGCGAACGGGUGAGUAAUAUAUCGGAACGUGCCCGGUCGUGGGGGAUAACGUAGCGAAAGCUACGCUAAUACCGCAUACGAUCUACGGAUGAAAGCGGGGGAUCGCAAGACCUCGCGCGAUUGGAGCGGCCGAUAUCAGAUUAGGUAGUUGGUGAGGUAAAGGCUCACCAAGCCGACGAUCUGUAGCUGGUCUGAGAGGACGACCAGCCACACUGGGACUGAGACACGGCCCAGACUCCUACGGGAGGCAGCAGUGGGGAAUUUUGGGACAAUGGGCGCAAGCCUGAUCCAGCAAUGCCGCGUGCAGGAUGAAGGCCUUC